GUUUCCGUAGUGUAGCGGUUAUCACGUGUGCUUUACACGCACAAGGUACUCGGUUCGAACCCGAGCGAAAACA
rnacentral:tRNA from 1 species